rnacentral:rRNA from 1 species
UACGGGGGGGGCAAGCGUUUGUUCGGAUUCAUUGGGCGUAAAGGGUGUGUAGGUGGCGCGCUAAGUCGGGUGUGAAAUUUCGGAGCUUAACUCCGAAACUGCAUUCGAUACUGGCGUGCUUGAGGACUGGAGAGGAGACUGGAAUUUACGGUGUAGCAGUGAAAUGCGUAGAUAUCGUAAGGAAGACCGUGGCGAAGGCGGGUCUCUGGACAGUUCCUGACACUGAGACACGAAGGCCAGGGGAGCAAACGGG